CCUUGAUGUCAUCCCGAAGGCGGCCCCGCUGGAGCUCCACGUUCUGAUUGAUCUGCCCAGAGGAAGAUGGGCAGGUUUCAAGAGAUGAUGAAUGACCACCCAGGCUGCACCCAUGAUCCUGAAGCAGACACUGAAGCCAGUCUGACCAGAGAGUCCUGAGACAGGCCAAGGAAUGUGGUUCUGCAGGGAUAUGGAAGGUCCCAGAGUUCUGCUGUACACACUGCAGCCACAAGGCAUACAUGACCAGUUGUACUUCAUAAAAAUUAAGUAAAUGUAAUAAACUAGAAUUCAGCUCC